AGUGAACGCUGGCGGUAGGCCUAACACAUGCAAGUCGAACGGCAGCACAGUAAGAUCUUGCUCUUACGGGUGGCGAGUGGCGGACGGGUGAGGAAUACAUCGGAAUCUACUUUUUCGUGGGGGAUAACGUAGGGAAACUUACGCUAAUACCGCAUACGACCUACGGGUGAAAGCAGGGGAUCUUCGGACCUUGCGCGAUUGAAUUAGCUGAUGUCGGAUUAGCUAGUUGGCUGGGUAAAGGCCCACCAAGGCGACGAUCCGUAGCUGGUCUGAGAGGAUGAUCAGCCACACUGGAACUGAGACACGGUCCAGACUCCUACGGGAGGCAGCAGUGGGGAAUAUUGGACAAUGGGCGCAAGCCUGAUCCAGCCAUACCGCGUGGGUGAAGAAGGCCUUCGGGUUGUAAAGCCCUUUUGUUGGGAAAGAAAAGCAGCAGGUUAAUACCCCGCUGUUCUGACGGUACCCAAAGAAUAAGCACCGGCUAACUUCGUG
rnacentral:rRNA from 1 species